CAGUAGCCGCGGUAAUACGAAGGGGGCUAGCGUUACUCGGAAUUACUGGGCGUAAAGGGCGCGUAGGCGGUGAGUUAAGUCUGCUGUGAAAUCCCCGGGCUCAACCUGGGAAUGGCAGUGGAUACUGGCUCGCUAGAGUGUGUCAGAGGAUGGUGGAACUCCCGGUGUAGCGGUGAAAUGCGUAGAGAUCGGGAGGAACAUCAGUGGCGAAGGCGGCCAUCUGGGACAACACUGACGCUGAGGCACGAAAGCGUGGGGAGCAAACAGGAUUAGAUACCCCAGUAGUCCCUGUCUCUUAUAC
rnacentral:rRNA from 1 species